rnacentral:rRNA from 1 species
CACGUAGGGUGCGAGCGUUGUCCGGAAUUAUUGGGCGUAAAGAGCUCGUAGGCGGUGUGUCGCGUCGGCCGUGAAAACCUGCAGCUUAACUGUGGGCGUGCGGUCGAUACGGGCAUCACUGGAGUUCGGCAGGGGAGACUGGAAUUCCUGGUGUAGCGGUGAAAUGCGUAGAUAUCGUAAGGAAGACCAGUGGCGAAGGCGGGUCGUCUGGACAGUUCCGUGACGCUGAGGCACGA